UAGUGGCCCGGCAACGGAGGCCCGCCUUCUCUGGCCUGCUAAGAGACGCUAACGUGAUGGCUGACGGAGUUCGCUCGUGCUUUCCUCGCCAGCGCUAUCUCAAGAUGGAGAGCCGACGCCAGAUAGGACAGCUGUGCUGAAUUUAUUAAGCUAGAAGAAAACAGAAAAAAAAAGACUAAUUUGCAGCAACUCUUUAUAGGUAAGAAUUUAUUGAAGAGUAGUGCCCAAAUUCUGCAGGAAGAGAAGAACCAAGUUUUCCUCCAUUGGUCAAAUUCAUAUCAGGUGGAAAUAUAACGCAGUCAACAAUUGUCUCAUAAGGAUUGUAAUAAGUCUUCUAAGCAACCUUUUUCAUGCUGAAUUAAAAAAUGAGGUCAGGUUUUUUUUAUCAGGCUUAGUUUUUUGUGACCCUAUUAUUCCGUUCAAUUAGUGGCAUGGUGCUUUAUGUUCACUAUAGUAGCAUAUCUGUAUCAGAUAUGUUUAGUUUGGAGGGAUCAAUCCACUCCCCACCUCCAAGUUAUGUUAUUUCUGCAUAACAAACACAACAGGGAUCACCUGUAAAAUAACCACACUAUGAAAUACCCAGAUUUACCAUCUGAAAUGAAGGUACCCAUGUAAAAGUUUUACUGUAUCAAAGCUUCUAAAAAUGGGACAGUUAGUGACAGUGACUAAUAUAAUGGUUGUGCUUAGGUAAAGCAGAAAAGGAAAUGUUUAAUUCUGAUCUAACAUUUCAGGUUAUCUAAAAUGAGCCACAUUUGUUGAUGCAAGGGGAUCUGAACAAUCUUGUUUAUGAUUUGAAGUCUUAGAAGCAGGAUGAACUUUUAAGAUCAAAAUGAAAGGGAAUCUUCACUGUCAUGAUAGUUAAGGGUUUUUUUUUUUCUUUCAUAGCCACCAUAAUGAAUGUAACAAUUUAUUCUCCCAAUAAGAUGGACUAGUGUUUUGUAAAUAUGUUUAUUCCGUUAUGGAGACUCUUGGUCAUGAACACAAUGUAAAUAAUUGACUCCUUGAAAGUUAAGACGGGAGGGUCUUUUUCAUAAUGGGAAUAAUUUAUUUUCUACAUGUGGGCCCAUGCUGCUAACAGGAAAGUGUUACAUGAGAACAAGAAAGAAAAGAUCCAGUGUGAAAAAUAUAAAUGGAGUAUUUUUGGAGAACUGAAAGUCACUAUACUUUUCUCAGCCUGCAAUUUGGAUACACAAAGUAAGGUGUUUUUUUUCCAUGAGAAGGAUAGUAAAAAGAAAAAAAACAUCAAGCUCAAAUAAUGCCCCAAAUAUACCUCAUUUUUUCACAAACAGUUUUGGGAAUAAUAAAGCAAGAAAUUCACAAAAUACUAAUGAAUUUAACAUGUCGUUGAAAGUUCAUUUCUUGGACAUUCACUUGGACUUUUUCCCCUAACAACACUAACUACUCAGUGAUGAGUAUGGUGAAUGAUUUCCCCAGGAUAUUUGAAACAUGGAAAAACCAAGAAAAGUUGAGUCCCAGCAUACUGGCUGAGUAUUGCUAGCCUUUGAGAUAAAAACCACCAGAUAAUUCAACACUGCUUUUUGUGCUACAAAUUAAACUGUAAAUACAGGCUAUUAUCAAAAGUAAAUUAUUGAUCACUCAGAUACCGUACCUGAUAGAAAAAUCCUGGAACAUUUGAAUUCAGCAUGAAAAACUAUGAGACUAACCAGUUUUCGUGUGACAUUUUUUUGUUCUCCAUCCUUUCAAGUUACCCUUUGCAACAUUGUUGAUUCCAAGUGUAAUUUUUAAUCCAUUUUAAGGGUAUCCCUAUGGGGAAAGCUCAUGGAUAUAACCAUACAUAGAUACUUUAUCAUCUAGAGAUACAAAUCUGCACAUCAAAUGCAGUCCAAGAAGUUAAGGAUUACAUAAGGGGUAUAUUUUUAAUGUGAAUAAAUCUCUAAUCAAGCAUCUCCACUAUUUCUUCCAAACUAACUAACAAGCGGCUGCCAAUUCUAAAGCUGUGAUAGUUUUAUCCCAUUCUCAAAUUUAUCCUACGAGAGCCUUGAGAGCUCUUGCACCGUAUUUCUCUGAUAAGUGUCUCCAGAUUAAUUACCAGAAAACAAGAUUAUGCUAACUGUUCUAGAAUAACCAACUGACAAAUUCAGGAAAAUUAACUAGGCAUACUUUUAGAAUGAGAGGGAAGCUCAGGUUAAUCAUGUACCAAUAUCUUAGACAAAUGGUGCAACAAUACUGAAGUUCUUCCACUCAAAAAAUCCCACCUUCCCCAUCAAAUAAUUUGCACCGAAAUGUUUGUUGCAGCCCCUCAUUGGAUUUCAGUUCAGUUCAUAUUCUAGCUAUGCUUUGCUGGAAUCAAUUCAGAUGUUUCCAGGUAUAAUGCAAACUUAUAGCUGAAGUCUAGGUUGUCUAGGAUGGUGAUUUACAUGGCUGGUAAUUUUCACUUUAUGGUUAAAAAUAAACGUUUGACCCCUUAACAACCCUUGCAGUUUACUCAGUUUGGGAAAGAGCCUCAGUAUAUAUAUAUCCUUUUGCCAUAUGGUGGUCUAUCAGAAACCUUAUUUUCAGUACUGUAAAACUGUAUGUUUCAAAUGUUAUGUAUCUAAGAUUGAAGAAUUAUUUAAAUGCCAUCUGAAGCUAGCUACCCUGACCUCACUGGAUAAUAAGCCCAAUUAUGCUUUUGAGUGCAUGCACUAAAAUAAGCCCUCCCCCCCCC